AUAAGGAGAAAAUGAAAAUAUCCAAAAAGAAAAUAGAAGAAGAAUGCACAGAAGUGGAAAAAAAUUAAAUUGGAAAAGAAAAAUAAAAGAAGAGCGCGAGCGAGAGAGCGAGAGCCGAACCUUCGAAGAUUCGAAACCCAGUCACUCGGGUUCGAUUUAUCUGCAAUUCGUCAAGGUCAGAGCUCUCUAUCAAUCUCCCACCCUCUUUUGUGUACUCCCAAGUCUAGCUUUUCGCUCUUCAUUGUGCUUCAUUCUUCUGCAAUUCGUUUUUCUGCUAUCUCCUGCCAUGUUUCCUGCACUCAAUUCGUCCAACUCCCUGAUCUCUUUUAUUCAACUUCGAAUUUGGGACUUUGAAGUUUGAAACAUUUUGAAUUUGGCCAAAAGAAUGAGGGGUUUUCAUUGGUGCAGUGGUCCGAUUUGUGGUUCGUGCAGUGCGUGAGAAGGCACGGUGCUGUGGGCCCAAGUUUGGUUAUUCAAGCUUAGGGUUUUGGACGUGCAUGGUUUUCAAAAAACUUCAGCUUGAUUCGGUGGGAUUUAGUGAGCUCCGUAGUCGGUUUGAUCUCUAGGGUUUUGGUUUCGGAAAAAUGAGAUUUGGGUUCGCAUUGUAUGGUUUGUGGGUUGGUGAAUUCGCAGUUGUUUGGAAAUAAGGAUACUGUCAAUUGGUUAUAAAUUGGGGUUUCGGGGUUUUGGGGAUUCGUCGGAUCCCGCUGUGGAUUUGCAUUCAAUGAUAUGUGGGAGGGUAAUUUCUUGGUCGUUUGGAGAACGAGAUAAGUGUGAUUUGGGAUAAACUGGGGUUACUGUUGGGCUUGUGAUUCUACGGACGGUGUAUGAAUCUGUGGCUCGAGACAUGCAACCUCUGCAGAGCGCCAGAAUUGAUUUGGUUGACUUGAAAGCUCAGAUAGUGAAGAAGCUUGGGGUGAAUAAAUCAAAACUGUACUUCCAUCACUUGAAUAGGUUCUUGAGCGAUAAAUUGGGCAAGAGUCAGUUUGAAAAUUUUUGUAUUCGGGCUUUUGGGAGGGACAAUCUUCCACUGCACAAUCAACUCAUAAUUUCAAUCUUGAAGAAUGCAUGCCAAGCGAAGACCCCGCCACCAAUUCAUUUAACUGGCCCCCAAAAAUUAGGGAUACAAGCUGCAAACAGUUCUGGUGGGGAAGAUGGGCAUGAACAAAGUGGGGUAAUUUUUCCAGGUCAGAAUCAGAAUGUACCUGUGUGGUCUAAUGGGGUUCUGCCAGUGUCCCCGCGAAAGGGUAGGUCUGGGAUACGUGAUCGGAAGCUCAAGGAUAGACCAAGCCCACUUGGACCAAAUGGGAAGGUCGAGUGUGUUUCACAUCAGUCCAUGGGAACAGAAGAUGGCAGUAGUAAGUUUAACAUGGAAAAUGGGGAUUUGACAUGUGAUUAUCAGAGAUCAGUGCAGCAUCUUCAAACAGUUGCUGAGCCACAUGAGAAUGAGAGGGAGGGUGCUGUCCAGCGACCUGCAGAGAAGCCAAGAAUACAUUGUAAGGAUCAGACUGCAGUAGCUGUCAUUGAUGAUCAGGUGGAGCAGUCAAACCGGUUGAGAUUCUAUAGAAGUCACCUACUUGCCCCCCUAGGAAUUCCAUUUUGCUCAGCUAGUGUAGGCGGGUCCCGUAAAGUUAAUCCAUUCAGUAGCAGUGGUGAUUUUGUUAGCUGUUAUGAUAGUGGUGGGUUGUCUGAUACAGAGACACUGAGAAAACGUGUGGAGCAGAUUGCGGCAGCACAGGGCCUUGGUGGCGUUUCCAUGGAAUGUGCUAAUACGUUGAAUAAUAUGUUGGAUGUGUACUUGAAGCACUUAAUCAGGUCUUGUGUUGAGUUGGUGGGAGCAAGGUGUUCACGUGAACCAAAAAAGCACCCUGCUCACAAGCAGCAGAUUCAAGGCAAAAUUCUCAAUGGUAUGUGGCCAAGUAAUCAUUUACAUAUGCAGAGCACAGGUGGGCCUAUGGAAGUUAUGCAGGAGCAAGGACCCCACUGCUCAAUAUCUUUGCUUGAUUUCAAAGUUGCUAUGGAGCUGAAUCCUCAGCAACUUGGGGAAGAUUGGCCAUUACUGCUGGAGAAAAUUUGUAUGCAAGCAUUUGAGGAAUGACACUUCCCUACAGAUCUUUGCUUAUUCCAAGACUUGGUUGGUUUGGUAUGUUCUGGUGCAAAGGGGUGGACAACCAUUGUUGGAGAUAAUUGUUGCACUAAGUUCUGUUCUUACUGCCAAGAUGAGCAGAUUUCUCCAAGUUGCCUAAAGCUCUGGCCCUUGCAAAUGAAUUGUGGUCGUGAGCAUUAAAAUGACUGUAUUUGCCUGCUGCAGAGCAUGGCUGGUCGGGAAAUUAUUUAACUGCAACCAAGCAAGGGGCUCCUUUAAAUAGAAUGCCCGUGAUUGGUUGCUCUGUUGUAUCUUUAGCAUUGAUCUUGGCAGUAUUUGCCAUCUCUACAGAUCUCAAGCAUUUCCUGUAAUUUUCAGCCAAUGUGGAGGAAAACUAAGAGAGUUUUACCAGGAUACUGUUGUGUAGCGUGGUGAAAGGGGAAUCUGGAGCAAGGUAGUCGACUUACUAGCAAGUUGGAGACGCAUCCAAGGUGAUUCUCAAAUUGCAGCCACGUGGAAGAGGGUAUUGAUUUGUCUAUGGCGGCAUGUGGAUGGAGAGAAAUGGAGCUUCGAUGAUUGCAAACGGACCGUGGAUGAACUUAGAAUGUUUUUUUCUUAGUACCUUAUGCCAUUGUCAAUUGUAAUAUAUUUUAAUGGCAUGAACAUUCAUGACUUCCUUGUAUUUUCAGACAAUCAUGCAUGAGUGUUGCUCUUGUAUAUAUCCCAUAUACUUGGGCUAUGCCUAUUUUUCUUAUUAGUAAAAUUCUACGUUACUGGAAAAAAAAAAAUCUGGAGCAACUUGGAAAAGACUGAUCAUUUUGGCUUGAGAAAAAAUAUACCCAUGCUUUCGUUGUUGAUACACCCAGUAUCCUUAUCACUAAUGUAAUAAUUUAUCGCUAUUGCGUUCAUGAGCCUUACGUCUAAAGUUAUACUUAGAGAUCCUGCAGCUUAGAUUUAUUUCAGGUCUCUUAAUUUCUCUAUUCGAAUUACAAAUUGACACAUCAAGUUGGAUUUUUGCUGCUUGUAUGAAGGGCUUAGAUCUGUCCUUGGACACUGCUGAAGUUGUCAUUUUUCUAUGACGAUGAGGAAUUGGGUUGCUCCAGGUCAAAGAUAAUCUGCAAGAUGAGUGAGGAAUUCAUGUCAGAGGCAUUCGCAGAGAGCGCUCAUCGUUUAUUAAGCGAGGACCUAGUGGCAGAAAGAGAGAGAAUGUGCGCGCUACUUGUUUGUGGGGGGUUAAGCAUCUGAGCUCCAUGACAACGUUAUACUCAUGCACUUCUAUGUUCUCUAUUGUUUGUGCUCAUGAGCGUGCUGUUGCUGUUCGCAUGUCAUACUUCCAGAUUGCAGAGGUUGGUUCCUUGAUUUCCUUUGCAUCUCAGUCGAUGACAUAGUUUUAUUUGUUUCUGUAAUGAUUUAAGGAAACAAUUUCAUCUAUUAGUUUUGAUGAAAAUAUUACAUAGAUUUCCUCUUUCAUGUUUUGGUGAAAUAUUUCCCAAAUUCGUGUGGAAAUUGAGAUGAA